UUCCAGCACAUACAUAUGUUCUAGCAAUUUGGAGAUUCUCUACGCAACAUUUGUAGCUAUAACAGAUUCAUUCAAAUACUUGAUAAAUUUUAACAUGACAUAAUUAUUUAAUUAUAAGGAAAAAGAUCCUUUCAAAGUUGCAUUUCAAGCCAUUAAAUCGCCCUUAUUAUUAUUAUUUUCUGGAGGGCAAGCAGCCACAACCAUGUUCCUCUGCACAUUUUUGUAUGCAUAUCGCCGAGCCAAGAACACAUAAACGAACAAAUUAGCUGCAGUUAUGCAUGCUAAGAGCCAAUAAAAGUUGUCUAAGCGG
rnacentral:misc_RNA from 1 species